rnacentral:rRNA from 1 species
UGAUCCUGGCUCAGAAUGAACGCUGGCGGCGUGCCUAACACAUGCAAGUCGUACGAGAAAGGGGCUUCGGCCCUGAGUAGAGUGGCGCACGGGUGAGUAACGCGUGGGUAAUCUACCCUUGGAUUUGGGAUAACUCUGCGAAAGUGGAGCUAAUACCGGAUACGCUCAAUUUAAUUAAGAAGUCGGUAAAGGAUGCCUCUGCAUAUGCAUUCGUCCGAGGAUGAGCCCGCGUCUCAUUAGCUAGUUGGUAGGGUAAUGGCCUACGAAGCCAACGAUGAGUAGCUGGUCCGAGAGGAUGAUCAGCCACACUGGGACUGAAACACGGCCCAGACUCCUACGGGAGGCAGCAGUGGGGAAUAUUGCGCAAUGGGCGAAAGCCUGACGCAGCGACGCCGCGUGAGGGAUGAAGGCUUUCGGAUCGUAAACCUCUGUCAGAAGGGAAGAAAGCGCACUGUGCUAAUAGGCCUUUGUUUGGACGGUACCUUUAGAGGAAGCACCGGCUAACUCCGUGCCAGCAGCCGCGGUAAUACGGAGGGUGCAAGCGUUAAUCGGAAUUACUGGGCGUAAAGCGCACGUAGGCUGCUUUGUAAGUCAGGGGUGAAAUCCCACGGCUCAACCGUGGAACUGCCUUUGAUACUGCUUAGCUUGAAUCCGGGAGAGGGUGGC